ensembl:lncRNA
GGCACAUCACGGCUUGUUCUCUGGUUUGAUCCAUCUCGUGCGGGAUACCUUUGCAGCGUGUGCGACAAAAUAGGACAUGUACAUUCACGCUGAUUAGGACAUUAAUUGUUGCUAGCUACACAACCAUACUGCCAAUUAUUUAACUUCUCCUCCUUACGUUCUCUGCUCCUCGGGUCUUAUCUGCCCAGCACCAAAUAUGAGGAAGGCUGAGUGUUUCAGCGGGCUGGGCAGAGCUGCAGCCUUUGUCCCUACUGUUGGAAAUGGCCAAAUCAUUCUGCCCGGGCGGUAUAUCUCUGCUCAAAGCAGAUUUUAUUUGCGAUUGCCGGGCGCCCCACAGGCAGCAGAGCGCAGUUAUGGACACCAUAGGACACCUUUUGUACCUCGUUGCCCCCCCUUGGCUCCCCCCCUCCUCCCCUUUCCCACUGGCUGCGUGCUCCAGGUUUACAUCUGUUAAUUACUUGUUAAUUCGCCUGUUAUCUGGUGUCAGUCAGGAGCCGUCCCGCUGCCUCCAAGAUGUCUCCGUGCUCUUCUUGUCCCGGAUAUGGUGAUUUCCUUCAGUCUGUUAAACAAAGAGUAUGGUUUGGGGGGGGGGGGGGGCAGAUCCCCCUCAAUACCUUCUUCAGACACCCCCCGAGGCAGACCACGAAUUGCCCUUUCACUUUGUGCGCGAUAUUCUGGCAGUGUGACGAAGUAUGGCGUAUAUUUUCACGCUGGCUGUGCAGAAGUUGUUGCCAGCUUAUAUACGAACGUUGUUAAUUCAUUAACUUCUCCUCCUUUAAUUCUCUGUUACUCAGGUCCUGUCUAUCCAGCACCCAAAGCUGGUAGUUCUCCAGCAUCAGGGGCUUUCUGGUUUGUGAGGGUAUUUAUUACACCUGGCUUGCCUUUAACUGAAGGCCCAGAGGGUUUUUGGAUGGCUGGACAGACAGCAGCUUCAGCCUUCGUGCUCAUAACUUACUCCAUCUUCCUCAUCUCUAUGGAUAUAGAGAGAUAUGUUGCCGACGUCACGGACUACAAUUCCC